rnacentral:ncRNA from 1 species
UGUCUUCAGGGCGGGGUGAAAUUCCCUACCGGCGGUAAAGCCCGCGAGCCGAGAGGCAGGAUCCGGUGAAACUCCGGGGCCGACAGUAAAGUCUGGAUGGAAGAAGAUG